CUCUGGUAAGAAAGAGUCUCACAAGAGAAGCAUUUGAAUUUUUCCCUGGGCACCACGGAGAACAGAGACUGAUGACAGUGAGGGACAUUCAUCAGGUGACUUCAUAUGAUUCAAGUCAGAGAACAGCUCACACUGGAUGGCAUGUUCAACCCAAAGGAAGGCCUGAGGAUCUCAAGGUUAAGGACAGAGUAGAGGUGAGCCAGGUGAAGAGGUUUGAAAGGUGCACAGGAGUCUAGAGCUGGUUGGAGUUGUACAGAAUGACAUUUGGAAGAAGUCUGUAUGGAUAAGAAAAGAGAGCUGUCAAGACAGGAAGUAACUGUGGAAUCUUAGGAAUGGAAGAGCUACUGAAGACAAGAGUCAUGAGUUGGGCUAAGAAGUAUGAACCAUCAGUGCAUGUCAGAGUCUGGUGAGGUAUGCACACUAAGAAUUCUUAUAUUGCUCUUCAUGGUCUUUUAAAAUAUACAUUACUAUUUACAAACUAACUACUUUUGUUUAGCAGCAACACAGAGUGUUCAGAAGAUCUUUUGAUGUUUAUUUGUUGCAAGUAGUUUUGUUUUGAGGCAGUCUUGUUAUAUAGCUUGAAUGGCCUCAAACUCACCAGAUUCCUACCCUCAACUCUAAGGUUCUGAGACUGUAAGAAUAGAAAAUCACCCCUGGUGACACUCAAGGUUUGACAUGUAUAACUCCAGGAUCCACAAAAUGAAAUCUGAAUAUAAGAGAAUGCAGACAUCAGACCAGAAGAUUUAGAGAUAAUCUUUCUUGAAGACUGUAAGACAACACCCAAUUCACAACAAAACCAUAUUAUUGAUUUGGGGUAUUGAUUCCUUUAAUCUGCAUCAUUAUUUGUUCAGCCCUCUAAGAACUCUGGCAUCUAUCUGUGGCAGGCAUAUUUCUGUCUUAUAGAAACUCUGUAGCAUUUCUUUUUAAGCAUUUUGACAUGUAUUGUACCCAUACCUCACAUGGCGUAUGGAAGGAAGACAACCCACCAAUCACCCUAAGUCUCAUAAAGAACAUAACAAUUUCACUGUCUUCCCAAUGUCCUGCUCAUAGAAAAUGUUUCUUCAACCUGGAUGAAGGUGUAAACACAAAACCUUCUCAGGGCUCAGAGCACUCAGUGGCUUGGUCUCUUCAAGAGUCAUGUAGGCAUUAGAUUUCAUUGGGAAGUCUUUUCGAGCUCUUUGCUCCAGAUGUGUGUCUCCUUGUGUCCAGAUACCAAGGACUUUUUAAGUAUUGUAUGCUUGGUGGACAUUUGAGUUACUUUGAGUGGUCCAUGAAGAUUCCUGUGCACGCUUCUUGGUGCAUCUAUAGAAGACUCUUGAAUAUGUUUGUGCCUGCAGCUGCGUUGUAGGACAAAGCAUAUAAAGUUGGAUAACAGCAAACCAUGUUCUUCACUGAUGACAGUACCAACACAUGCUUCUGAUAUUACUCUGGUCAACACUCCAGAAUCUCCUCCUCCAUCCUUCACCUGCUAGCAUCAUUUUCAUUGUCGGGGUGUUUUGUUUUGUUUUGUUUUUGUUUAUUUUGCUUGUUUGUUUGUUGCCAGCUUGGCAAAGAGUAAAAUGUCACCUUCUCGGAAUUACCAUAUUACUAAUUGAGUGUUAGUAUCUUCAUUUGCUGGUCUCCCUUUGUGAAUUAAAAAAAAAAUCCAUUUUAUUCUAGCAAGGUUUUUCUCUUUUUUUCAUGUUGUUCUGGAGAACCUCUCUAUAGAUUGUGCAUAAUAACCCUUUGUAGUUAUAAGUAAAGGUAAUUAUUUGGGAGGCUCGUUUUCUUAUUCUUUCUAGGCUCACUCUACAAACCAAGUAUCUCAAUAAUCUAACACUCUCUUUCCCCUUAUUAAUCUUCCUCCACAUCAGGAUCAGAUGGCUAUUCCUCCUGUUGUCCCCUAACAGCUUUGCAAUUUGGGCCUUUUGAGUGUAAGCUUUAAUGCAGCUGGAGUCCCCAUCUUUGAUAUUUGUGGGGCAGGCCUUUAUUUUAUUUUAUUUUAUUUUCCAAUGUGGAUAACCGAUUGACCCAGAAUCAUUUAUUGAAAAGUUCAUUCUUUGCCCACUGCCCUAUAAUACUGGCUCAGUCAUAAAUCAAACCUCUAUAUACGUCUGGGUCUGCUUUUGGCCUCUUGAAAAUGGACUGGAUUUUCAUCAUCCAGGAGGAAAAAAAAAUAGUAAGUAGAACAGUCUCACUUUGGCAAUUUCCUGUGUCUUUCAAACCUAGACUGAGUUCUUUCUCAACUUAUUUCUCUUCAGUCAGUCACCUUCAAAACCAUUAUUACUAGUCUCUCUGGGUUCCCCAGUAUGGGGCGUUAUCUAGUUCUUUACUUAAAAACCGAAGCGUUCUCAUAUGGAACCAAUCUGAGGAACAUUUUCAUCUCUCCUAGUUAGACACUGGACCACUCUAACCUGCAGGUUGGCAUUAAUCUCCAUAGUGCCCCGCAUGUGACAGAAACUAAGUAAAUCUAAUUUCCUCGUGAGAUUUUAUAUCGAUGAACGAGAAAGUGCAUGAGCUGCCUCCUGACACGUUCAAAUUGUGUUCACAUGAACUGUAUCUGUUUUUUUUUUUUCAAAAAAGAAAAACUGUAUGACCUAGAAACUUGUCUAAAUCAUAUAAAGAUAGGGGUUCCAGCUCACUGUUUUAUCAUUUUAAAAGCCUGUCUUAAAAUAUAAUCAUAUAAAGAUCUGAAUACUGAAG
rnacentral:lncRNA from 1 species